ACGAAAAUUACUGGCCGGUAGCCGACAAUCUACCGGCCAGUAAUGUGGUUAACGGAGAUUACUCUGGAUUUAUACAAAGUUGCUGAUGAUCAGUAGAUUGAAAAAGGUAAAUCUUUAUGAUUGUGCUUUAUAAAUAUAGGGGUGGAGCUAGUAUUUGAAGCUUAUCGGUUCUUGAUUAUGAUCUUUAUUGAGUUCUUGAGCUUCUAAGUUGAUAGUUCUGUCCUAUUGUCCUAGUGAUGAUGGACAUAGUUAGCUGGUGCCUGUCGUUGUUGUUGGUGGGGGAGGUGCACGGUUAUCAAAAAAGUUGAUAGUUUGUGUGUAUUCAACGGACUUUUAAGGCGAAAUACAAUGUUUGAAUGAAAAUUACUGGCCGGUAGCCAACAAUCUACCGGCCAGUAAUGUGGUUAAUGGAGAUUACUCCGGAUUUAUACAAAGUUGCUGAUGAUCAGUAGAUUGAAAAAGAUGGGGAGCUGUGUUUUUUUUUUUUUUCGGCUUUUCGAGUUGGGGAAUUUGAUGAAACUGUUGAAUUUUCUUUGCUAACGAAAAGAGGUGGAUAAAGUUGCUGCUUCAAUGCUAAUUUGGCUUUAGAGGUGAUUUGUUUUGUUCAUAUUUUCUCUGGUUUAUGUUCAUUGGAAUAAGUUUUAUUAACAUAGUAUGAUGAUGUUCUUAGAUAUCAAAGACAAUUGUUCAUAUAGUGAAAAAAAAACUUUCAUCUUU